rnacentral:rRNA from 1 species
CUCGUAGGCGGUCUGUUACGUCGGCUGUGAAAACCUGGGGCUCAACCCCGGGCCUGCAACCGAUACGGGCAGACUAGAAUUCGGUAGGGGAGACUGGAAUUCCUGGUGUAGCGGUGGAAUGCGCAGAUAUCAGGAGGAACACCGGUGGCGAAGGCGGGUCUCUGGGCCGACAUUGACGCUGAGGAGCGAAAGCGUGGGAGCGAACA